rnacentral:tRNA from 1 species
GCCCUUAUGGUGGAAACGGUAGACACGAUAGACUCAAAAUCUAUUUUUUUGCUGGUUCAAGUCCAGCUAAGGGUA